rnacentral:misc_RNA from 1 species
UCCCCCGUGAGGGGGCAGUCUCGCCUGACAUUUAAAACAGGCAACGAGGGUUGCGUUCGUUACCCCACUGAAGGGAACAACUCAAGCCACGAACUGACGACGACCAUGCAUCACCUGGCUUACUGCCUUGCGGGGGCCAGUGUUUCCAUAGGCUUACAGUAAACUUUCAAACCCUGGUGAGGUUCUUCGUUUGUCAUCGAAUUGAGCCGCAUCAUCCACCGCUUGUGCAAGUCCCCGUCUAUUCCUUUGAGUUUUAAUCUUGCGAUCGUACUACCCAGGCGCAUCACUUAACGCGUUAGCUUCGCCUCAAAGAGGGUCGAUACUCCUUAAAGCCAGUGAUGAUCGUUUAGGGCGUGGACUA